rnacentral:lncRNA from 1 species
AACCCAAAUUUCAAUACAACCCAAUAGCCCAGUUACAAGCCCAUAACCUAACCCAAAUACCCCGGCCCAAAUGGCCCAAAAUUCAAAACAAACUUCAGCCAACUCAGAACCCUAGGGUUUCUGCUAGGCGCCGCAGUAGCCACCAAGCAACCCUUCGUCCUCACCGCCAGCGUAGCAUCAUACGACCACCAAGCUCCGUACAUUAGUACCUGCGCACAAAUGCAAAAAAGACAGCACGACAAAAAGAAAAACAGAUAGCAUAAAAGUUUGUUGUAUUUUUUUAUCUUUUUUCGGCUAUAAAGCCACAAAGAUUAUCAAUUGUAAGGGGUUCACAGAGAUUACGCAAAAAAAAGAAAUCAAUACAAACGAAAAGUUUGAAACAAUACUCAAAAAGAUCGAAGGUGGUUCUCCGAUUGAGAUUCUCCCUUUUGUUUUUUUAUUGUUAUUUUCUUUUUUUCUCUUUGCUUUGGUAGAUAAAAAUUUUAGCAAAAUAAAGGAGAAGAAAACUUACCUGCGUUUGAGGGGUUUCAGACUGGUGCCACGACGGAGGCGAAGGCGCUGAGCACAGAUAAACAUCGAAAUCGGCGAAGACCGAGGCGUUGUGGGCGUCGUUCCCCUCUCCCCCUCUUCUCCCUUUCGUCUAUCCUUUCUUUAGUCUGUUGAAGCAUUUAGGUCUUAGGUUUUUUCUUUCUUUUUAUUGAUUAACAGCGAAACGGCACCGUUUGGGACAUUGAGGGUCCGUAUGCCAACCCGGAAAGCGACCCGGAUCCGCUCUUUCUCAUGCAGAACGGGGAAUUUGCGCCCCAGGUCCUCCACAUUCACGCGAGCUUUCAAUUGCGCCUUAUGCACCGUGCUCCUUUUUUUUUUUUGAUUUGGACUUGUGAUUUGUACCUUAUUGCAAUUUGAUCCGCGCUUAAACACUGCGUUUUGGGGGAUGGAUUAUUUCCAUCUUAAAUCCCUACGCAUUUACUCGUGUUGCAUAUCAGUCCUUUAUGGUUACUGCUUUAUUUUCAAAUUAUCUCUCUUGUUUUAAUUAAACUUUAAUUUAGUCUUCUUAGUAUAGCCUAUUAUUUAGCAACAUGUUCAAUGUUUGAAUGUGUGUGGACUUAUUUUAAUAUCCUAUACAAUAUUAUGUAUUUCUAUAUAUAUAUUAUUAAAUCCAUGUAUUUUAUACAUGUAGUUCUCCUUAUAUAUAUAAGUAUAUUUUUAAAUCAUUUAUGCAUAUAAUAUAUAAUGUAACUAAUUUAUAAUUUAUCCCUAUACAUAUUAUCAUACCUAUGUUAUUUUACAUGUAUUUGUUUUUUUUUUAAAUCUAUAUGAAUGUAUAUUAAUACACUUGUUACUUUAAUAGAUUUCUUAUUUUAAAAUACUUUUUGCUUUAUGAUUUAUUAAUCAUUCUCUUUAUAUAUAUAUAUAUAUAUAUAAUUUGUUUAUACACAAUUUAUCUCUUUUAGAGGUCUUUAUUUUUUUACAUCCUCAUCUGUCACUUUUAUAUAUGUAUUAAUUCUAUUAAGCUUUUAUUUUAUGUGUUAUAUUUUUUAAGGCAAUACAUUUUGUUUAGAUUAUUCGGUAUUUCAUAUUUAUUUUCAUGCAAUAUUUAUUUUAGAGUUCUUCCACAGAUUAUUACUUAUUUUCAAUAUAUACUUUACUUCAAAUUUCCUCAUGCGUUGCCUAGUUUUAAAAUUUUUUUAGGUUAAAAUUAUAUACAUGUAUUGGUUUCAAAAUUUUUUUCAGUCAUUUAUUUUAAAUCUACUUAUUAUCAUUCUAAAAUUUGUUCAUAUUAAUUUCCCAUGUAUAUAUUGUUUUAUUAUACAUUGAGUUGAUAUUCUGUCAUGCAUAUUGUUUAUUCUCUAUUUUUAUUAUAUCUUCAUUAUAUUGUUUACAUUGAUUUUUAUUCUUGUAUAUAUAUAUAUCAUUACCUUUAAAUAGAUAUGUUUUUUUUAAAUAUAUUUUUGCAUGCCAUUUGUUCCAAAUUUCUUCUUUCACAAUGUUUAUUUUAAUAUUAUUUAUUAGUUUUAUUUUUAUAUAUGCAAAUCAUUUCAAACCCUUUCAUAUGUUGCUCAUUUGUAAUUUUUCAUAUUAAAUAGUUUUCAAAUUGUUUUCAUGUUGUUUUGUAUAUUGUUUAUAUUGUUUUGUUAUAAAUUUGUUUUCAUACUUAUAUAUAUGUAAAUGUUUCUUAUAUUAUCAGUUUUGAAUGGUUGAACAUCGUGUUUUUACAUGCAUUGUUGACCUUCUAUUGUUUUAUGUGUUUUCCUUUAAAUUUAUUUCAUUGUAUAUUUCCUUUUAAAUCAAUUAUAUAUAUAUAUGUCGAAACCAUUUUUAAAUUGAGUUUUGGAAAAUGGGAAUCGACUUUAAGAAAAAUGAAAACAGGAGUCGGCACCAAUCUUUUUAGGUGUGAUUGGAUCACCUUAUAAAAUGUUUUGUUUUAAAACAUUAAUUUUGGUCUACGAAAGUCGAGAAAAUGGAUUCGGGAGUCGGUUAGGUACGAGGAAGGGUUAGCACCCUCGUAACGCCCAAAAAUUGGUACCUAAUUGAUUAUCAAGUGUUUUUAAUGUCGGAAAUUUGAAAGUUUUAAGAUGCAAACCUCUUUUAAUUAGAAUGUCUCAAUUUUGAAAACUAAGGCUCACUUAUUUCAAACGAGUCAAAACAUCACAUCCAGUAAGUUAGGACGCAACAUUUUAAAACCUUCAAAACUAAGCUCGUCUUUCGAAAAUUUCUAUCUCGAAACAACAAAACGUCAUAUCCAGUAAGUUAGGACAUUAUGUUUUGAAAUCUCGAAAUAAUUGUUUAAGUUUUGAAAACUCAAAAUCACUUAGAAGGGUGCUUGACUAUUCGAAUUCAACGAGAAAAGUCGCAACCCAAUAAGUUAAAGUUUUCAAACAUCAAGCAUUGCCUUUUAAUUUUUUUUAAAAAAACCUUGGAAUAUUAUUUUUAAAUGACGUUUUAGGAUGACAUAUUAAUGCGUCAUGAAGCAUAGAUGUACAAAAUAUUCUAACAUUUCCAUACAAACAUAAAUAAUAUCAUUAUGACAAAACUAAAUAACAUGAACAUACGUUUAAUGAAAAAAAUCAUACUAGGGUAAAUAUAAGAUAAUAAACAAAUAAAAACAUGAGUAAACUAAAAGAAAAACAUAAUACAUGCAAAAAUUAUACAACAAUAUAUAUCAUAAAAUAACACAUAAAAGAAAUAAUUAAACAUAGCAUAUAAAAAAAAUGAAACUAUGCACAAAUAAGAUAAAUGACAUACACAAAAAAAUGAAUAAAUAGAACAUUUACAAAUUAUAAAAAUAUAAUGCAAUAGUUCAAAAUACAUGAAAUGAUAAUAUAAUAUAUAUAUGCAUAGAAAAUAUAUAUUUGAAAAUAAACUAUAUAAAAAGGUUAAAUAUUAUAAUAUAUAAAAUACAUAAUCAAAUGUAUAAAAUAUAUGAAUAAAUAUAAAUAUUUGAAAAAUGAAGAAAUUAAAAUAAAAAAAGGUUGAAAAACUAAUAUAGACGAAGAAUAAAAUAAGAACAGACCACAGAGAGUAAGAACGCAAGAAUGAGAGAAAUUUGAGUGAAUGCUUUUAAGAAUUCUUACUGCUUCUCAAAACUCAAGUCAUUUACAAUGAAGGGAGAGGCAUCUAUUUAUAGUUGAGCCUCCCCAAAUCCAACGGUACAGGUCAAUUACAUUAACGGUUAAGAUUAAAAGAUAUCUACAAAUUAAAUCUCCAAGAUUACAAGAUCAUAUCUUCAAGAUUGCAUAUCGUAUCUAAGAUUGCAUAUCAUAUCUAAGAUUGUAUCAUAUCUAAGAUUGCAUAUCAUAUCUAAGAUUGCAUAUCCUUAAAGAUUAUAUUUCCAUAUGAGUCAAGCUUAUAGAUGGACCUUAAAUCCUUUCAAGUAAUGGGCCAUUCCGAUUGGGCCAAAUUAUAAGUUUGUAAUUUUGUACUGGACUUGUACUUUGUUUUAUUUUUAUUUUUUAGGGGUUUAUUAUUUUAAAUACUAAGAUGGGCCGGGCAAAAAUGGGUUAUUACAGCUGCCCCUCUUUGCUCAUUGUCGUGUAACGAGAAUAGAGCAAAGACUAUAAAAGGACUCAUUUUUCCCGGUCUCAUCAGCUUCAGACUUCAUGGUCCUCAAUCUGCUCCUUGCAAACUCAGGAUUGUCAUGUUGAUAUCUUCGAUCUGCUCUCCGUCGAACACAGAGACGCCAAAUCUGCUUCUUCAAUUUGUUUUCUGGCAAAACAAAGAUGCCAAAUCAUCUUAAAUCUGCGUCAGCGUAAAUACGUGAAAGCCAAAUCUGCUGUGUCUUUGAUUUGCUCCUUGUAAACACAAGGAUGCCAAAUCAUCUUGGAUCUGCUUCAAUAAAAUCAUCUGAAGGUUAGAUCUGCUAUGUAUCUGCUCUCCGUCGAAAUAGAGAUGCCAGAUCUGUUAUCUUUGAUUUGUUCCCUAUAAACACAGGGAUGCCAUAUCUUCGAUUUGUUCCCUAUAAACACAGGGAUGACAUGCUGAAAUCUUCGAUCUGCUUUGCUAUAAGCAUAGGAAUGUCAGAUCUGCUAUCUUCGAUUUGUUCCCUAUAAACACAGGGAUACCAAAUCUGCUAUCUUCAACUUGUUCCCUAUAAACACAGGGAUGCCAUGCUGAAAUCUUUGAUUUGCUUUGCUGUAAUCACAGGAAUGUCAGAUCUGCUAUCUUCGAUUUGUUCCCUAUAAACACAGGGAUGCCAAAUCUGCUAUCUUCAACUUGUUCCCUAUAAACACAGGGAUGCCAUGUUGAAAUCUUCGAUCUGCUUCGCUGUAAUCACAGGAGUGUUAGAUCUGUUAUCUUCGAUUUGUUCCCUAUAAACACAGGGAUGCCAUGUUGAAAUCUUCGAUCUGCUUCGCUGUAAGCACAGAGUGUCAGAUCUGCUAUCUUCAACUUGUUCCCUAUAAACACAGGGAUGCCAUGUUGAAAUCUUCGAUCUGCUUCGUUGUAAGCACAGAGUGUCAGAUCUACUAUCUUCAAUCUGUUCCCUAUAAAUACAGGGAUGCCAAAUCUGCUAUCUUCAACUUGUUCCCUAUAAACACAUGGAUGCCAUGCUGAAAUCUUCAAUCUACUUCGCUGUAGGCACAGGAGUGUCAGAUCUGCUAUCUUCGAUCUGUUCCCUAUAAACACAGGGAUGCCAAAUCUUGUUUCUCUGAUAUACAUUGUCCCAUAAAAGAAAAAACCUGUAGAAUGCGUAUGAGUUCAUGCCUAAUAAUUAGGAUGCUAUGAUCGAAGUGAGUCAAAUUCUCCUAAUUAGACAUGUUAUAAUGCAAAAUGUUAUGAAUAUGACCCCUAUUUCGGACGUCAUCACUUAUUCCCUCAUCGAAGUUUUCCUUACUUCUCUCGAAGUCUCAUUCCUACUCAGCUUGUGGGUUUGUACCAUUCUUCAAAUGCUAUGACCUGCUAAAAAUGUUUGUAAGAUGAUCCUCUCUCAGGAUCGAAUUGUUUGAUUUGUUCAACCAUCAUUUAGACUGAAGAAGAAAUUUUAGUUUCCCCGAGUACAUCCGACCCUCACAUAUGGGAAUUCUUUAAACAAUUGUCCUGUUUCAGUUUCUUGUAUUAUCUAGAAAUUUCCAGAGUAAUAUGCAAAACUUCAUUUGUAAAGAUAUUUAGUUCAUCAGUCAUUGUUUCUAUGCAACAUACUUUAUGAAUAAUGGAGGACGAAUAAAUUGAUCUUGAGGAUAAUUUGAAUGAUUUAUCAAAAAACAAAGGACGUUAAUCUAUCUUUAAGAAGAAAGAGAAUCCAAAGAUAGUAAACAGGACAAAAAAAAUCAGAUGCCCCAGAUAUCACAGCUUAGGCUUCCGUAUGCGAACUCCGUGAAGGCUGUUUUGAGUUUAACAUGUGUUUAAAAGAUCCAAAGUAGUUUGUUGAUGCCCCGGUAUGUAACAUAUUUCACUUCUUGUCGAAUCUAGUAUAGCAAGAUCACUGCACGCCUUUUAAAAUUUGAGCUGCCCUUUCGGGUUUUCAACUCAAAACCCCUUUGGUCUCAAGGCGCCCUUUGCGGGUUUUCACCUUGGCCUCUCCAUUUUUUCUUUUUUAUUCUUUUUAUUAUUUUUUUCUUUUUCUUUUUUUUUUUGAAAUAGAAGUCCCAAAGUGCCCUUUGCGGGUUUUCACCUUGGCUUCCCUUCUCCUUCAGACAAAAUACUCCUUGACCGAGUCUGAAUUCACUGGAUCAGAUAAAUUCUUCCUAUCCAUUUCUUGUCAAAAUCAAUGGACCUCUAGAGAAAGCCCUCUUCGCAACAUAUGGCCCUUCCUAAUUCAGCAUCCUUUUGCAUGGGAAGGAUCUCUUUUACUACAAGGUUUCCUUUAUGAAAUUCUUUUGGACGAACCUUCUUUGUCAUAAGUCUGUGUCAUCCAUUCUUGGUACAUUUGCUUAGGAAGAAUACUUUCAAGUUAAGUUUACUAGAGGUGUUCAAUUCUUGACUCCAUCAAAGCUUGGAGGAAAAAUCUUGAUUCAUAAACCCAUGAGAAAGGGAUUGCCCCAGCAGCAAUCCUGGCUGUUGUUUGUCAAACCCUACAAAAAGAUGGUUCAAUGAUUCUCAGCAGACAAGAAUGAAGUUGCUGGCUUUAUCCUUCAACCUGGAAAGCUGAGAUACAGAGAUUACUCUCGGAGCAUACAUCCCACCAUGACUCGAUGAUGUUUCUGAAGCAUCCCUAAUCUUCAUAAAUUGUCCCCAACUGUGAAGCUGCCAAAUGAGCGUAGCAAAUAGGAGCCACAAAAAAUAUGGCUGUGGUGCUCCUUUGAUACAUAUAGGAUAGAGAAUAAACAAACUCUUGCAGAUCAUCAGCCGAAAACCCAGCCUGGUCUAAGAGAACAUGAUAGUGGGUCAGCCUCGUGAUUCCAAUCAUUCCAGCAUGGGUACCAAGGUAAAAAUCAUUGUUCUUUGGAUGGCAUACUUUGUUGUCAAUGACAGUACCAUGUAGCACAUUGUCAGGAGAUCCCUGCUAAAAAAAACUUGGUAUGAUGGUUUUUCGUACAACAAUAACCACAAUCUUUAGGGUUCCACUUCUCGUCAAGGAACUUGCAAGCCUCAAUAACUUGAUCAAAACUUGAUUGAAUGCUAACCCCAUCCCUGAAAAUAAUGAUUUGAUCAGGUUUCCUCUUCCCUGAACUUGUAUAGAAGUCUAUGAUACCGUCAUCCACUUUGUCAGAAACUUGUUUUGAAGAAAGAAUCUAUCAUUUUAAGCUUUGGAGACUGUGUACGGCCUGAUGCCCCAUAGCUGGAAAUCAAUGGCCACCGUCUAGAGCUAACCAUCGCAACUGUUGACGGCACAUCAGACUGCUCAGGAAAGCCAAACAAUGCACCCAUUCCAAGGAUGAUGGUUAGAACCUUUAAAACAAUUGGAAUUGAAGGUGUUUGCCCCAGCGUAAGCAUAGAGAGUGGGCGGUAGUUUCUUAUGCCAAUUUUUACCAGUCUCGGUCAUCUUCUGUAAUUUGUUUUUUUCUUCUUUUUCUUUUCUUUUGGCAACCUUUGUUGUACUGUGGUAUGGCACAUUAUCUUUGAAAAGAUUGCAAACUUUUGGCAUUGUGCAGUUAUAUAUAAUCUUCUUCUUUUUUUUUUUUGAAAUGGAUGACUUUUGACUUUGUAAUAUUGGCAUAUAAAGCUAUCUCCCCCUCUUAAUGGAGUAGUUAAUGUCCACAAAGAUGAGUCAUUGUCAGCUUGAAACUUUUGACGAGCUCGGGCCUAUAACAUACAUGCCCCAUAAGUCUUGACUCCUUUAAAUUUGGCAUUCAUUGUACAACUGAUGCGAUCCAUUUCUAUGAUGGACUAACAAUGCCCCAAAACCUCAUGUUUAUCCUGGCAAUUGCAAAUCCUCCUGCAUGCGUCUUUGGACCACAUUUUUGAAUUCUCAAAAUAGUCUCAACAAGGUCUUGUUUUGUCUCCUCAGCUAAUUCCAAUUUCGCAAUCUUUCCUUCCUCUAAGGCUAUAUUUCCUACCACCACUUCAUCGGGUAAAAACCAUUUUCAACAAAUUCAGAAACAAGUCACAAUUUCUGUCACCUUCGAAGUACUGAGAUUCUUCUAAACACAUAUCGCACUUAAAAGAAACUCUGAAUCUGUAGUAUCAUUGCCCGUGUCAUUGAUAUCUAAGGAUCUAUGAUAGGCACACAAAAGAAUAUACAAGGAAUAAAUGAAUUCAAGAAUGACUAUUUACAUGAAAUGAAAAUUUAUAAAGAAUGUCAAAGGUCAAAAGAAUCAGAAUGAAAGAUUUUUUACUCGGAUAAAUAAUAAAAGUAUGUUUUAUUGAAAAUAAAAAUGUCUGAACAUGAGCCCACUUCUCAAAAGAAAUCUCAUUACUACUAGGCUUUAGAGCAACAAGAGUGUUCUGAAUAUUACUCCGUAAAAUUUCUAAAGAUUAUAGGAAGUUCUUCUGCAGUCCAAUUGUUUAAAGAACUUCCCGGUUCAUAAGCGAAUGCCCUCAAGGUUUCUUUGUUCAGUCCGUUCCUCUUGUAUGACAUUGAUGGGAUGAUUUUUCAUUUCUAACACCCCCUUCUCCGAGUAAGCUAUCCCUCCUGACACAAAAGUCGGGGAUAUGUAAGGGAACGUCAUUAAUUCCCAUUUAACUUCUUUUUCACUCUGCCGUGACCCUCUUCUCUCUCUCUCUCUCUUUUUCUUUCUCUUUUUAAUAACUUUAACUAAUUAAGGUCUUUUUAUAAUUUUGAAUGCAAAUGAUGCAAUGAAAUGCUAUAAGAUGCAAAUGAAUGCAAAAGGUAUUGAUCUCGAUUCAAUCUCAUUUAGAAAACUUUAUUUAGAAAAAUAAUAUCUUUACAUAUAAAUGGAUUACAAAUACACUUUCGCCCUAAUGCCUAAAGUUUUAACAACAAAACAAACUCUUGGCUACGAUCAGAUUGUAGCUCAUAUUGGUGCUCAAUAUGUCAGCCUGUGCCGCCAAUGUCUGUAAAUAAUCAGCUGCCUCCUGAGUUUGAGCUACGACCUCACCUGUGGGGUAAUCCGUGUAGCUAAGGGCACCUCCUCUAAUACUUGUGAAGUUGUUCUGAUUAUUUUGAGAUAGAUUAGCGAACAUGUAGGUAUCCCAUUCUGCAAUGUGCUACCUAUCCUCCUCNNNNNNNNNNNNNNNNNNNNNNNNNNNNNNNNNNNNNNNNNNNNNNNNNNNNNNNNNNNNNNNNNNNNNNNNNNNNNNNNNNNNNNNNNNNNNNNNNNNNNNNNNNNNNNNNNNNNNNNNNNNNNNNNNNNNNNNNNNNNNNNNNNNNNNNNNNNNNNNNNNNNNNNNNNNNNNNNNNNNNNNNNNNNNNNNNNNNNNNNNNNNNNNNNNNNNNNNNNNNNNNNNNNNNNNNNNNNNNNNNNNNNNNNNNNNNNNNNNNNNNNNNNNNNNNNNNNNNNNNNNNNNNNNNNNNNNNNNNNNNNNNNNNNNNNNNNNNNNNNNNNNNNNNNNNNNNNNNNNNNNNNNNNNNNNNNNNNNNNNNNNNNNNNNNNNNNNNNNNNNNNNNNNNNNNNNNNNNNNNNNNNNNNNNNNNNNNNNNNNNNNNNNNNNNNNNNNNNNNNNNNNNNNNNNNNNNNNNNNNNNNNNNNNNNNNNNNNNNNNNNNNNNNNNNNNNNNNNNNNGGAAAGUUGAACAAACUAAUUGUUGCAAAUCAUUUUUGUUCUCUCUUUUUUUAUCAUGGUUGUAUUGGAGUUUGCUAUUAUUUUGUACGAAAUCAUGGUUUAUUCCUGUUUACUCAGUUGCUGAAUCUGAAGUUGAAGGAUUAGUUAAGUCUAGAAAUCGGAGUAACGAAUCCUUUAGAAUACCCUUCCAUUUCUGUGCAAGCUAUUCUGAAUUGUGAACAUAUUAUUAAAUAAAAUUAAUUUUUGAUGGUUAAAUAACAACUUGAAUCCAAUCAAAUUGGACAGAUAUAUGGUACAUAAACCCCACUAGUUAACGGUUGCAAAUUGGAGGAGGAUUAUUAUUGAACAGAACAGGUAAUUUUUUAUCAUAUUUGUUUGUUUUUUUAUCAAGUUAUUAAUAUAUAUUCAAUAAAAAAAUUUAAAAGUUGUAUCCGCAUUCGCUUAUUAAAGUAAAAUAUAUUCAUUUAAAUUAAAUGAAUUUUUUGGGGCUUUGAAAAAUGAAACAUUUUUUUACUUAUAAAAUAAUAAAACAAAAAUAUCAAUACUUAUAUUAUAAAUAAACAAAAAAAAGCAUAAGCAAUAACAAUUAUAUAACAAUCAAACAAUGAGCUUAUAAACCAAAUUCAGUUUAAUAAAUUGAAUCUCAAACUUUUUGAGGUUGUAAAAUUUUAUAACAUAUGAAUUAUGACAUAUAAACUAAUGGAAUCAUGUAACUUUUUGUUAAUAUAUGAAUAUUAUGUUUGGAUAUGAAAUAUAAUUUUUAAGUUAUUUAUUACUUCUAAUAUUUUGUUUUUAUUAUAGCUGUAAGGCCCAAAUUAUGCCCGGGCCCAGACCACAAGAAUAGAACAAAUAAAAGUCCAUCAGUCCAUUACAAACCCAAUUUCAAUACAACCCAUAGCCCAGUUACAAGCCCAUAACCUACCCAAAUACCCCGGCCCAAAUGGCCCAAAAUUCAAAACAAACUUCAGCCACUCAGAACCCUAGGGUUUCUGCUAGGCGCCGCAGUAGCCACCAAGCAACCCUUCGUCCUCACCGCCAGCGUAGCAUCAUACGACCACCAAGCUCCGUACAUUAGUACCUGCGCACAAAUGCAAAAAAGACAGCACGACAAAAAGAAAAACAGAUAGCAUAAAAGUUUGUUGUAUUUUUUUAUCUUUUUUCGGCUAUAAAGCCACAAAGAUUAUCAAUUGUAAGGGGUUCACAGAGAUUACGCAAAAAAAAGAAAUCAAUACAAACGAAAAGUUUGAAACAAUACUCAAAAAGAUCGAAGGUGGUUCUCCGAUUGAGAUUCUCCCUUUUGUUUUUUUAUUGUUAUUUUCUUUUUUUCUCUUUGCUUUGGUAGAUAAAAAUUUUAGCAAAAUAAAGGAGAAGAAAACUUACCUGCGUUUGAGGGGUUUCAGACUGGUGCCACGACGGAGGCGAAGGCGCUGAGCACAGAUAAACAUCGAAAUCGGCGAAGACCGAGGCGUUGUGGGCGUCGUUCCCCUCUCCCCCUCUUCUCCCUUUCGUCUAUCCUUUCUUUAGUCUGUUGA